rnacentral:tRNA from 1 species
GCUCGAGUGGUGGAAUUGGUAGACACGCAAGACUUAAAAUCUUGUGUCCAUUAGGACGUAUGGGUUCAAGUCCCAUCUCGAGUACGA